UGUCGCGGUGCGGCUGCCCGGGGCUGCGCGGCGCCCAGACCCUCCGGAGCCGGAAUGGAAAUGGAGUGUUUACACGUCAAAACGACGACAGCCAUCCCUGACGUCAAGUGUACCUGGCCCCCGAGCCAGGGGGAGGGUGCGCUGGUACAGGUGAGCCGAGUGGGUUGGACACCUGUACAAACACCGCAUGGGUGCACUUCAGGUCCACGGUCAUGCAGAUAAAAUACUCCACGAAGUGCCUCGUUAAGGAAGGUAAGAAAGAGCAGAGUUUAAAAUUGGCUCUCAGAAAAAAUAGCCAGCAAAACCCUAGCUGAAAGGUUUGGUUGCAUUUAUGGUUAUAGCUCAUACUGUUGUCCCAAAACAGGGUUCUUUAUCCAGUGUGCAUACAAAUGAGCCAAAUUUAGCACACAGAGAUGAGAUGUUGUUUAUUACAGAGUUGCACAAGUCUGGAUGCUGGAAUAAAGCCGGCACAACAGCAGGAACAGUGAAAGGCAACGUAUACAAAAUCUUAUCCCUGCGUUCAUACCCUAAAGAGCCAAUUGGUUACACAUUUGCAUAUUGCAUUACAUAAUCCUUUUAGCGUGUAAUGAGCAACGUUUGGCUACAGGACACUUGAUCCAACAGUCUCGAGAUGUGCUUAAGCGAGACUCAGCUAAUUGUGCGGCUUCAAAACGUCUGAAGCUGCAAGGUCAGUGCUGUCUGUAGUUGUGGCAGGAGUUUUACAAGUCACUCUGGUCUUUGUCAGACAGAGCUCCCGGGUCCUUCUCUGCAGAGUCACCCCAGCCUGUACAUGUGCUGUCUCUUCAAAACUGCCUGUGACCCUGUCCCGCUGCUUUCCCACCCUGCGCCCACCAGUGACCGCUCCAGCACUUGUCCCCUAGUCCUGCUGGGGCCACCUGUGCCAGCAUGGCUCUCCUCCGGGGUUCUGGGUGGGGACCGAGCAGAGGCUCAUUUCUCCAGACACGUUCACCGGUCUCCUGCCGAGCCCUGUGGUAGUUGUUAGGGCACAGACUGCCCGAGUUUAUUGAAUUAUUGGCUACGCUGCUUCUUACAGAACUUGGUUAGAAACUGCUUACAUAGAAUUCCCUCAGCAUAAGUGAGUUUGCUCAGCGUAACUUGUGCAAGCUGUGAGCCUUUGAACUUUCUGCUUCGUUAAGUAAAAAAGGCCUCAGAGUCUUCAAGAGAGGAGCCAAGGGGAGCAGCGUCCUGGGGAUAAGAACAGAACAGUGUCUGACAGAAGAACGUUUUGGCUGUUACCAAGAACUUGUCUUCUCCAGCUGCAGGUGAGAAACAGCCGGUGACGGCCAGAACGUUACUUGACAGCCCGCCUGACGAAGAUGAACAGACCGGUGAAGAAUGGGAGAGCCCAGACUCCAAUUCUGCGCUUGGCCCCGUGGCACACGGGGGUGCAGGCCGGGAUGGGGUGAAUUGUCCAAGGGUUUUCUGCUGGGGUCCCUGUGCAGGAGGCACCGGCUCGAGCUGCUCUGCGCUGCACCUUGCAAUAAAUUGUUUAUUUUAGAAGAAUUCCUGGAACCCACGCCUGAGUCUCUGCUGCAGGAAACCUAGGGAAAAGGAACUUCUCUAACGGUCAUUUAGUGAAGACCUCUGUGGCUAAAAGCUUUUCUUGGUGACCAGCUAAUGGCACGAGGGCUGUUCAUCCACCUAGCCAGGUGACCGUCACCUUCCAACCAGUGUGAACACCUCUUCACACUUCCACGAGCAGAGAAGCUGCCUGGGACGUGUCUGUUUGAUGGGAGAUCCAUCCUCUGGGGUGGAACUGUCACCGUCUUGCAAGACACACAUUUUAAUAAACAUCUGCACAAAGCAUUUUAACUCUAAAAUAAAUUAUUGCUUUAAAUACAGCAAUUAAGAAGAUGAGGGACAGGAAAGCAGCUUGCAUAUCAUGUAAAGUGCCACAUGUCUCACGAGAGUUCCUGGGUGGGUGUGAUGAAUCUGUGAGCAAAUGGGGCUAUAGGAAAAGACCAACAGGGCCAAAACUCUACAGCCGGGGACCCAGCAAAGGGAGGAUAUGACCGGGCAUCCCAAAGGGACUGACCGGGACUUCAUUUGGGAAGAAUAGAUUUAAUAUUGUAACUUACUUAUGACAGACUUCAACAUGUUUUUCCAAAAUUCAAAUGAAUUGCUCCAGUCUGCCGUGGGUUUUCAGAGCUGCUGACAGUCCUCGCGCUCCUGGGCACAAACACGAAGGAUGGAAAUGCCUGCGGUGAGCUUCUCCCGCUGCGCACCCCGGGCAUCGCCAGCGUCCUCGUGCACCCCGACACCUCGUCUCAGACCUUCUGGGUCAGAUGUGCCGAAGAAUCGCAGCCCAGCAUUUCUGAGAACGUUUUACAACAGUGAUAAUUAGAUGGUGAAAUGCAAACUAACAAGCUGCAUCGACUCAGUAUUAAGGAUUAAUGAUCUGAGCUUUAGUCUUUGCUUCCCUGCAGGGCAGUGAAUUUCACCAAAAUCGUGCUUCAAUAAAUGCAAAAAGGGUGAUAGGUGGCCUAUGCAGAGUGUACGUGUAGAAAUAAGGUUGUUAUUAUUCUUCCCUCUUCUCUGAGACCAGACCAAAUGCUCUGACCCUCACUUGCCUGCGGCAAACCAAAGAUGCAGACUUGCCCUCACCUCUGACAUAAACCUUGACUGCUCUUCUUAGGGGUGUUUAUUCCCAUUUCAGUGCUCUUUCCCACCAUCCUUCACCCAUUUUUCAAAUGGGUGAGACAGUGCUUCCUCAGCACUGCGAGCCACACCACGCAAAGGACCAACAACCCAACACUCCCCUCUGUUGUGCCAGUUUUACGGCAAAGUCACGGUGCUUUACACACCCUUGGUCCUGACCCUUUAUCUCUGCCUGGACCUUCCCUCUGAAUCGUAACACACUGAGGUGUCCUGUGCUGGUUGACAACAGGGUGAGCGUGAGUCACCAACGUGCCCUGUGGCCAAGAGGCCAACGGGCCCUGGGGUGUGUGAGGAAGAGUGUGGGCAGCAGGUCAGGGAGGUUGUUCCUCCCCCUCUGCUCUGCCUGGGGAGGCCCCAUCUGCAGAACUGGGGCCAGUGCUGGGCUCCCCAGGUCAAGAGGGACAAGGAACCACUGCAGAGAGUCCAGGGAGGGACACGGAGAUGCUGAGGGCUCUGGAGCAUCUUUGUGCUGAGGAGACACUGAGAGAGCUGGGGCUGCUGAGCGGAGAAGAGAAGCUGAGAGGGAUGUGAUCGAUGAUCAGUACGGCAGGGUGGUGUCAGGAUGGAGCAGACUCUGUUCAGUGGUGCCCAAGGCCAGGGUGAGGGGCACCGGGCACAGACUGAAACACAGGAGGCUCCAUGUGAACAUGAGCAGACACUUGUUUGCUGGGAGGUGCCAGAGCCUGGCCCAGGCUGCCCAGAGCGGGUGUGGAGUCUCCUUCUGUGAGCCAUUGCACCCCUGGGAUCCUGUGUGAUCUGCCUGUGACCCUGCGUGAGCAGGGGGGGCUGGGGACACACAGGGAUCACUAACAGCCUGGGGUGCUGGGUUCUGUGAGGUGACAGGAGCACAAAGGAUGACAAAGAUGAACAUGAAGCCUCAUGCAACCCCUGUUGUGGGAUGAUCAGACUGGGUGGCAGAACCCACUGGUGAUGGCUGCAGCGCUGCUCCCUGGGGCAGCCGGUCACCCACCAUGGCCACCACACGAGGGGGAAAGAAAACCCCAACCUGGAGCCUGUUCCCAGCCAUUCUGGCAACAUAAGGUGCUGGAGGCAGCAAGAUGGGCAGCAGAGGCAAGAUAACAAGUCAAGCCAUGAGCAGCUCCAAAUCUGUGGUGUGCAAGCUCGCGUGGAUUUCAUCAGCUGUCACAACUGCACACAAGCUGUGUGACACCGUCACCUGGAGGGGGAAAUCACCCCCUCAUCGUUUGCUCAGAGCACGCUCUGUGUUUGUCCCAGGCUGUGCUGGAAGCAGCUGUCCAUGCACACAGACUGCUGGUGGCAGCGCCCUGCGGUCAUCGGCACGUUCGCUCCUGCAGAGCCCGUGCACAACACGGCACCCGAUUAACAGCAAAUGUAAAGAAACGGGGAUGGAAAUGAGCUCUUUUUAAGAGAUCUUCCUGCUGGCCAUGGUGAAAACACCAAAGAAAUAAAUCUGCUGAAGGACGAUCUGGCCGUGUGUCUGUCCAUCCCUGCCAGCCGCACUCACACCGGCCCGCUCACAGAGGCGACACGCGCCGUGUGACGUUCUGGCAGGUUUGCUGGUCACCAUCGUGAUAUAAUCUCCUUCCAUGGCAAUUUAAUUAGCACAGUGAAAGAACUGACCUUUCUCAAGAUUUUAUUUUUUCCACUAUGCUAAAAAUAUCCUGCGGAACAUGUCAAUAGUAUCCUUGACGCGCACAGUGCUCUAAUACCCCAUUGUAAGGAAGGAAGCAUUUUAAAAUGACAAUUUUAUAGAGAAUGAGAAAAAGAAGCUUUCGAAUGUCCUUUAAAACAGGCAGCGUUGUUAGCAAUGCAGAAGUACAGCGAAUGUCGUAGGCAAAAGGACCAAAGGUAAGAACAAAGGAAGGACCAUAGAUAACAAUACAGCAUGCUUCUCACAGAGCAUUUUAUAGUAGCAGGUAUUAGCAGUAAUGGACAUCACAAGCCAUUUUACAAAAGAACUGUUUUUAAUUGAUCAUCCAUGACUAAAGAGGCAGAGAAAACUGAUUUGCCAAAGCCCGUCCCCCAAGCUGUCCAUCUUGCAAAUUGUUCCCACCAGGACACAGCUGAAGUCAGUUUCUUCAUCAUGACAUGUUAACGUCACCCUGGGCUGGGCUGCCCAGCCGGUGCUGUACAAGGCGCUCAGCACCUUUGCAGAGCAGCCGUUGCACACAGUGCGGCUCUCGCCAGCCUCUACCAGCCUGACCGUGCUCCCCGCUCCCCCUGCUCCCCCAGACCCACAGAGAAAUGAAACCCGGGGGUCUCCCGAGCCCCUGCGGCUGCUGGGUGGUGGCGUGGGACGAGGAUGUCCCCCCAGCAGGUGUCUGCCCAGUCCUGAGCACAGGGAGCUGCUCACAAGCAGGAGAGAGCAAAGCUUCAUCACUCUCAGGGAGGACACUCCUUUCUCAAAUAACUUAAAAACGAGGGGUGAGCAAUUAUUUUAAAGCAAAGCGCAGUCGCGGCGUGGGCUGUUUGUUGGCAAUCAAGCGCUGCCCCUGUGUGACACUGUGACGCCGCCGUGUCCUGCGGCUCUGCUGGAAGAGGAGCCCAAGGUUUAUUUCCCCGCUUGUCCCACCAGCCUUCGGGAACCGACACGACCCACCUGCCAAACAGCCGCAAGGAAUCACGCUCUGUGCAACCGCAAAAAUGCGUGCGUGUGUGUGCACAUGCCGCAGGUAUCCACGGACACCCACAGAAAGAAAGCAAGAAUGUCCCAGCAAGUGUCUUUUUUGUAAGGGUCUGUAUAAAAACAAGGAAUAGGUUAAAAAAAAGAAAAAUAAAACAAAGGAAGAAUCAAAAAUAAAGGAAGAACAAAAAAUACUUUUCCUUGCUUGCUCUUCAGUUUAUUUGCACUGGCCGUGAUAAUAUUUAUAAUAAAUAUGUAUAUAUUACAUAUAUACCAUACAUAUAUAAUAAAAUUAGGUAAUGCUAUUUUUAAGACGCAAUAGUCUGCUUAGAAAAGUUAGCAAGCCACAGGGGUGGGAUGGCGACCACUUAAUGGGUAAAAUGAGCCCAGCUGUUCUCCUGCGCCCUGUCUUUGCCGUCUGUCCUGGUUUUGUUAAAAACAAGUUUCUCUUUUAGAGAAUUUGCCUGUCAGCUAAAGCUUCAUAUGAGCUGUGUUUUCCUGGAGAACCAGACACAUGUUUUGGUAAACAGAGCAAUGGAAAGCAAGGUUAUUGAUAAGAUGGAUGGACAUCGGGGCAACGAGAAACAGGUGACCAAAAACUGACCAACUGUGUGUAACAUCCCAUUCACGUGAAUACUUCAUAUAAAAGUGGGACAUAACACGGAUCUCAUCCCUUUUCCCUAUGGCCGACAUUAGGAGAGGACCUUGCGAGUCGUCCCUGUGAACUGAGACCAGUGACAGACUGAAUCCAGCUCCGGUUGGCUGCAGAGUCCAGUCCAGGACUUCGGGUGCCGGCUCUGCAGUUGCCGGGACUUUCCAGAUUGGUUUUGUAUAUUUUGUAUUAUUUUCUCUAUUUUAUCAGCAGCAUUAGUAAAACAUUGUUAAUUUUUCCAGAUCUCUUCCCUCUGUCCUUCUUUCCCUCCCGAUCACCUGUCCUGAGUGGGAAGGGGGGAGAGGGAGGGGCUGAAGGAGGAAGGGGGUGUAUAGGAGGCUAACAAUACAUCUGCCAGGGUUUUAUUGUCACCCCGCAAUCAUAAACCCUCGACACCGUCUCUUAAAUGUCACAGUUCUUCCUGAGUAGUCUGGGUUAAAAGGAGGUCGAGCAUUGGCCAGACUUGUCCCCCAGCCGGGAUACGAUUCACACCUACGCGGGUCCUGGCGCUGGUUGUGCCGUGCGGUGCCUGUGUGACCGUGACCUGUGGCACCGACCCCCGGCUCCCUGAUUGCGCAGGACAAUGUGAGAUACGGACUGAACGACAUCUAUAAAUCCUGCGAGCACUCAGCCGCGGGAGCAAUAAGGGCCAGAAGAGUGCCCAGAUGGACUACGUGCGCUGGAAAGAUGGCCAAGUGCCAAACACAAAGGGACUAAAUGGUAGGAAAAGAGAGCGGAUCCAAGCUUUCAAAGGGUAAUUACAACUUUUGAUAAGUGAAAAAGAGAAUAUUGAAUGUCAAAAGCCUGUGUCAUGCCCAUGUAAGUUAUAGGAGUGACUCAUACCAGCUUCACCUCGGCAUCAUAAAACUGACGUUGCACACAAGAGCCUUCUCCUCUGCCUGCAGCUAUUUAUAACGCCUUUUUCCCCCUUUGGCAUGACUCGGGGAAUAAAACAGCAGCAUCUUGACUUUAUAUCUUAUUUUCUUGCUUCGUGUCUUGCAGAGCUUUGCAAACCCGAAUGUGCAUGAGACAGACAGCGCUCUUCACAAAGGGACCAUCGAAGCGGUUCCCAUCGCUCGGACCGCGGCGAGGCCACGGGCGCCCGGUGGGCACGACGGUGCCACCGCGCUGCCUUGGAGCGCCGGAGCAAAACCACCGCUCCAAACGCACCUCCUGGGGUCUGAGCUUUCCUGAGACAGACUGCAGCUUUGUGAACAGGAUGCAGAUUUCUGCAGCCUGGUCCUGGUGCCAGCAAUCACCCCUUGUGGUGGCACAGCCCCUCGGAAGGUCACACGCUGACCUGCCCGAAACGCUUGGCUGGUAAGACAGCCCAGGCAAUGGUGCUGGGGCUCCCCUGCCUCCCGAAGUGUUAGAAGAAAAGGAAAUGUUUGUAUUUUCAACACACACAAAAUGGAGAACAUUGUUUUGAUUUUUGUGGCCAUUGCACCAAGUUUGCACAGCAGUACGUAGCAAGGUUACACCGCAGUACAUAACAAAUCGUGGUGAAAUUACGGCAUCAAACUAAAUAAGGAUCUUAGCAGACGUAAAACAAAUGAGGGAUUAAUAUGCAUGUGAAGAAUUAAUCCACACUGAAGGGUUUGCGCUUCUCUUCAUGCACCAUCUGAGCUGUUACGGUAGCCUGACGACACGCCAGCCACAAGUGCUAGUGACAGGGUCAUAGAGUAUUAGUUACACGCAUAAACAUCACAUUUUUAGGUGUGCUGUAGAUGAGACAUGCAGAACUAUUUCCGAAGGUACUUCCACUUUCCCUGGUUGGCUGACACCUCACUGGCCCAGCGGGACUACAAGAAAACCCCAGGAUGGUAAACGAGUGAGCCCAGCUCAACGAGAACACCCAAAAUCAGAGGUUUCCUCCCCAAAGCACUGGGGGAUUUGCAGGUGACGGGUGCCGCGGAGCUGCCCAGAGGCAGCGUUACCAGGAGUGCCCAGCAAGGCUAUCAGGGCUGACAGGGCACACUCAGGGCUCCCCGAUGCACCCUGUGAUAAAGAUAGUUUUAGUUUUAAAUUAAAAUGGGAACUGUUUUUGAUUUUACCCUUCGGUGCUCUCCCGGAGGACCGGUAGCAUCCUGCAGGCUGCAAAGACCUGCAACAGCAAUUCAUAACAAUAAAUGUCACCCACCAACAGAUAUAGCUUCCAGGGUAGCGCUGCAACUCAAAUUGCAGCUUAUCUGGAAAUAGAAAUACAAGGUUACUCUAUCAAGAUACACCUGACCGUAGUCUCAUUUGUUUCCUGGGCUGUUGCCGACACUUGCGCAUGAAGGCAGAACUUGGUGCAAGAGUACGCAAAGUCAAGAAAAUAUAUGCAAAAGAAGUUAAGCGUCAUGCAAUUAUCAGCCAGUUACACUGACUUAAUUAAAAUUAGUCAUUUUUCAGCUGUCCUUUGUAUCACCAUUUUUUCAACAAAAUCUUUAUUGUGUUACAGAGGGGAAACUUUCACAAAUUGUGGACAUAGGUGGAUAAAACCACCUUAACGCCGUUUUCCAGAACAUUUAAAGAAGAAUUCACAAGAUGGAGUGUUGAGAGGGGUGUCUCGCUGCCCCAGCAGAGGCAGCUCAGGUGCUGCAGCGCUUCCCAGACCUGCUGCUGUUCACUGACACAGAGUUCAAGAUCAGAACUGUGGUUCUGGCUGACUUUAAGAUGGUUUAUCAGCACCAACAACCCUCUCCCGCAGCCGCGCCAGCGCCGCCUUGCCACUCAUCCCCGAUGGAGGAGCGGUGAGUCACUUUCUGACUCUUCUCCGGCUCUUUUGUCUCUGGAAUAAUUUGAAUUAAAUAUUUAUGAAGAGCUCUGCAUAGUCACAAAGUUAUUAUAGAGAUCAAACAUACUGGAAAAAGAGCACGACGUGGUGAGGGCUCAUGGACGCAGCGGCUCUGUAAUGUCAGGCAGUCCUGUUGGAAAAGGGGUAAAGAACAAAGCGAUUUGAUUCGUCAUAUCCAAGAGGACAGCUGGCAAUUUGUUUAGAUGGCCAUUGCAUUCCCUGGCCACCCAAAAAUCUGAAGGUCAAGAGACUUGUUUUCUCAUUGAUGUGUGAUAAAGAAUAGUUUUCUCAUAACCCAAAGUCGCAAUUGAUCUGACUCCAGAGAGCCCCUGUGAAUGUCGGUUCCGCCACUAAUAACCACACGCAAACUUCAGCAUUCGAAAGGGCAUUUCUGCUCUGUUUUCUUUGUAACCCUCCUUGAUUUCUGCAUUACAGACUUUACCUGCAAAGACAUCACAGAGUGCAGAGGUUUUGCACACCUGCUGGAGACCGCAGUC